rnacentral:sRNA from 1 species
UUUAACCUACAUCAAAUUUGGCGCCGUUGCCGAAGUUCUCUUUGAUUCACCAUUAGACUAGGUGUAGAAUCUAGACUAAGUU